rnacentral:rRNA from 1 species
UACGAAGGGGGCGAGCGUUGUUCGGAUUUACUGGGCGUAAAGGGCGCGCAGGCGGCCUAUUUUGUCAGGCGUGAAAGCCCCGGGCUUAACCUGGGAACUGCGUUUGAUACGGAUGGGCUAGAGUUCGGGAGAGGAGAGUGGAAUUCCCAGUGUAGAGGUGAAAUUCGUAGAUAUCAGGAAGAACACCCGUGGCGAAAGCGGCUCUCUGGAACGGUACUGACGCUGAGACGCGAAAGCGUGGGGAGCGAACAGG